ACUUUCUCCAACAACAGCCACACAUAAGCCCCCUUUCUCUCUUCCUUCUUUCUCUACCAUCUUCUCCCCCCUCUUUCUAAACUCAACACCAUCACCCUCUCUGGCCACCGGCCAUCCAGAGCUCCGGCAGCCACAUCCCCUCUUUUUUCUCUCUCUAUCUCCAGCUCUCUCUCUUGAGACCACCAGUCAGCUACCUCUCCCCCCUCCGGAUGAACCAGCCUCCACGCCACCAGCCAUCAUGUCAAUGACGCCGCCAUACCAUUCGUCUCAUGCCGGUAAUCUAACUCACCGACGCGUAACAACUUCUGCUCCACCACCCCCUCCCUCCGUCACCUCAAUACUGUAAAUCGCCACCUCACUCGCCGGAAAAUUGAUAAGUGCACGGAGGAUUCAUGUAUGUGAAUCCGUCCAAGGUCAGGAUUAGUUGAAGAGUCGCCGGGACGUUAAACAUAAUAUGUUAUUCCUUAUGGCUGCUAUUUUUCCUUUCUUAUUUUUGUAUUAUUUGAUUUGUAACAUUAUUGUAAAGAUAUUAUAUUAUUGUAAUAAUAAUUUUGGGGACUGCUCGGGGUCGGGGAUUUACGUGCUCUAUGAACAAUAUAGGUUGGCACAGCUUAGGAUUAUGUGUGGUAUGUGUUAUGUGGAUCGUCUAGCGAUCUAUUAACACAUGAAUCAUUUAGACACUUUUAUUAAUUAAUUCGCUUAGAAAUCUUGCUUUAAAGUUUUUUUAUUUACGCUCGACGCAUUAAAUUAAGUCUAAGCAUGCUAAUACCCUUUUAACAUACUCACAUCCGUUUUAAGCAUGGUAAUAUUUUUUGUGUUAGCCUACUACAUUCAUUUUUUGCAUGUUAAAAUAUCAUUGCAUAUUUCGAUGUGUCCACACAAUUUAGGCAUAUGUAAACGAUAUUUGGGCAUGUUAAUAUGGUGAGCAUGUCAAUAACUGAUUUUGCACGUUAAUACACUUUUAGCAUGUUAAAACUACUCUCAGCAUGUUAAUAUAAAUUCCUGCAUGUUAAUUUUGUUUUUGUGUUAAAAGCAUUUCAGCUCGUUAAUAUGGGAAUUUUAAUCGGCAGCAUGUAAAAAUUAAUUUUCAGCAUGUCACAAUUAGAUUCUAGCAUGUCAAAAUGGCACUUCUGCGUGAAACAAUUAUAGUACAGCAUGUUAAAAUACUAAUUUUCUACAUUUUCAGAAUGUUAAAGUACUUGAUUUUAGGCUUCUUUAGCAUGUUACUGCAUUUUUCAUUCCUGCACUAAUAACAUAAUUUUCAGCAUGUUAAAAUAUCAAAUUUUAAGCAUUUCAGCAUGUUAAUUUGUAGAUCAAGAAUGUCAUUUUUUAACAUAUUAAGGCAAUUUCAACUUGUUAGUAUGAAAUUUCUGCACUGUGUGCAUAGUUUUCGGCGUGUUAAAAUGUUAGAUGGCAUUCUCAAUAUGUUAAACACUAGGUUAAGUACACCAUUAUGUUUCUUAGCAUGUUAAUGCAUUUUUAAUAUUUUUGUUAGUUUCUUAUAUUCUCAUAUUGUGAGUACAAUUUCUUGACACAUUUACCACACUUUUGUCACACUAGCAAUUGUUGAACACUUAGAUAUCAUGCCUAUAGGUUAAUGACAUCAAAAUAAAUAAUUAUUUUUCUUUGUAUGUCAAUCACAUUAAUAAACGUUAAUUAAUCAAAAGGCUAACUUGGGACAAUUAUGUGUUACGUGAUGUCCUACUUGUUACGUACUUUGAGUCCUAGGCAACAUAGUUUAAUUUCAUCUAGACCACCAAAUCAAAAUAGCAAAGUCUAAUGCCUCUUGGAUGAUAGGUGGGACGAUAAAUAUUAUUAAGGACGGUAGUUUUAUCCUUGUCGUAGAACGCCUUUAGACUUAACAACCAGACUAAGUGGGGUGGGGUGGGGUGGGUAGUCAUUUGGAAGUGAUGAUCCCAACAAAUAUUGACAGUAAGACUAAUGACAUUGUCAUUUGUUUAAGAGUUCGGCAUGUGGAUCGGAUGAUAUGCUUAAACAAGUUGGGAUUCUGAUCCGAGUGAGACCAAACCUUUCUUCGUUUGGUUUGAUGAAUUCUUUUAUACUUUUUUAUUUACUUUAUAUGUUUAUUUAUUUGGGGUAGUUAGUUUAUUAUAGAAGCAGUCCCCUUUGC